ensembl:lncRNA
AUGUAUCUAUGGCGCUUCUCCAUCGCCAUAACCCUCGGCUUGGUUUGGUAUUGCUCAGACUACGGACACACACUGAUUGAGUGCUUAUGCUUUCUUUUUUGCAUUUACACCCCGCUGCUGCCUGCAGUCAGCGGGCGAGAGAGCGGCACACAGACGGACGAAGAGGCGAAGGACGACACAGUUCAGGAAACUGCUGUCGAUAACUUGAUUGAUGGAGACACACCGGACCUGGCUGUGUCGCUGGAGUCUCCGUAUCCACAUGUGAAGAGAUCUUUACAGCAAGUGUUUGAAUGCGCCUACGCUCAGCUGGUCCUGCCUUGGUACACCGUCCCUGAGUCGUGCGAGCAGCAGCCCCUGCACCAGGUUCUCUGCAGGGAAUUCGACUUUGUAAUCGACCGCAUCAUUGAAAGGGCCAAAGACUUUGAUGUCUCCCACGCAGUCGUGGGCUCCAUUCGGAUUUUGACCCAGCACUUGCAUAAUGUGAAGCAGUCUGACAGACAGCUCUUGUUUAGGUCCAGAGCAGAGGAGAUUGUAGUUCUCCGAGAGCUUUCUGAUGCUCUGGUACGUAACCUUUUUCGCAAAUCUCUCUGGGGCCAAGAAGUCAACCGCUGUGCCUUAAAUGAGAUCAUUGCCUUAAAGGGAUUGGGACAUUUGGUUGCAUGGCUGUCUGACCCUGACAAUCUGAACCAGCUAGUGGUGAGCCAGCUUGCCAUCGUGACACCCAAAAACUCUGUGGAGGAGCUCUAUGGAUCAGACACUGAAAAAGCCUCUCUGGCUUCACAGGAGAGCAAAGGCGAGGGGGGAGAUAGUGAUGUGAGCUCGCACGGCACAGGGAUUUCAGACGGCACCAGGACCAAGGGUAAAAGGAAAGGCAACAAGUUAAAGGAAGGAUGGUCAAAGUUUGUGGACAAGAUGAAGUCCAAGAAAGCCAAAAAAAAGAAGAUGAAAAAGAUGGAGCAGAAGCGUUUUCUGAAGAUCACAGCCUACAUGGGAGACUUGUCCAGCGAUGACAAUGUCAGUAGCAGGGAGGGCUCCAUUCGCAGCCAGGAGGAGGAAGACUCUGACGGGGAGGAUGGCGAUAUGGAGGACUACCUGACAGCCGUCCAGGAGGACAUGAUCGAAUUCAAGCUGUCAUAUGAGAUGUGGCGUGUUGGCCGCUGGGCUGUCAGCAUCCCGAAUGCUGACUGGGAGGAUGAGAAGCUAAUCUUCACUGUUCACCUGGAGGAAAAAGACAGUCCUGAGAACCUCCAAUGGGACAUCAAGAAGAGCUACAUGGAUAUUGUACACUUCAGCAACAGAUGGCAGGACUCCGCCAGCCUACCCGGGGUCUUGGUGCUGGAGGAGAUGGACGGCAACGAUAAAGUUAAAGAAGAAGCUAGAGUAUCAGUGGAGCACUUCCUGCAAGAACUGGUGUCAGAUAAUCUGAUCGGUCACACUCAACCGGUAUUUCAGUUCCUCUGCCCCCUUGACAAACUCCUGAAUGAGAAGAAACAUUAUGGUGGCGUUUGGGGCCUGCUCAGCGGCUUGGCUUACUUCCUCACUCCCAGCUACGAAGAAGAUGAGAACUCGAGCAUACAGCCCGGAGCCCCAGAUGAAAACACAAUGUCAUCUCUGCAUCUAGAAUCAACAGCUCAGUCUUUGGAGAACCACAGUGCCUCUGAUAUCCCCAGUCAAACUCUUCCAUCUAUUGUUAUCUCCCAGUACGAUUCCCCUUUAGAACUGCCUGAGGAGACUGAAAUUAAUCCACAGCCUUCUGUUGACUCAAAGUCCUCAAAUGAAAAUGGCUCCCAAGAAAAAAAUGAGGACUCUGAUAAUCCCUUAACCUCUCACUUGAAAACACUCCUCAAAGGAUUUGGCCGAUAUAGAUCACACGAGUCUCUGGCCUCAACAAAAAACGGCAGUGACGAAGACGUGCCCGACUCGGGGUUGCAGCGGGAGGGUCCAGAGGGCUCGUCGCGGCUUCACUUCAGUGCGAGGCCCAACAAAAAGGAGAAAACGUGUUUUAGGUCCGGAGGACUGAACAAGGCGAAGGGAAAGGAGGCACAGGCUACACUGCAGAGAGGGGACAACUCCCAGACUCUAAAGAACCAAGUCAACAGGGAACAGCCGGAGGCGACCAAAGCCAUAUUUGAUCUGCUGAAAGAAAUAUCCGGAAACUCCAUCCUCAUAAAUAUCUUCGAUACUGUUCUGAAACCUUUUAUGCCCAUUUUGAAAAAGAAAGUGAACUCCUUCCUAAGAAAGGUGAACCCAACACAGGUGCAGAUGGCUGCGUACAUCGACAAUCUGCGUAGCAAACUGUGGCCAGAGUCUCCUCCACCAACGCCUCAUCCUCCUCGUACCGAUGAGGAGAAGGACGAGACCAGGGAUCGAGCGCAUAACCUCAUCAAUGCCAAAUAUUCAAAUGUUUUGGUCCUGAAGAAGACAGAUGUGGAGUCUGUUUUCAAUCUUUUCCAGGACAGAGAGGAAAACAAAACCCUGGUUUAUGUGAGUAUCCAAACUUCCUUUUUCAGCACACCUCAUUUAUUGUAUGGAAUUUUCACUUUUCACUGUAUGUUGCACAUAAAUCUUUGUUCUUUCUCACGUCUCCACUCCUGUAACAGAUGCUCCUGUCAUUUCUAUUGA